rnacentral:rRNA from 1 species
GACGAACGCUGGCGGCGUGCCUAACACAUGCAAGUCGAGCGGGGAUUUAAGUGGAAGUUCUUCGGAAUGGAGAUUUAAAUUCUAGCGGCGGACGGGUGAGUAACGCGUGAACAAUCUGUCCCGGACAGGGGGAUAACACUUGGAAACAGGUGCUAAUACCGCAUAAGACCACGGCCUCGCAUGGGGCUGAGGUAAACGGAGCAAUCCGGUUCGGGGUGAGUUCGCGUCCGAUUAGCUAGUUGGUGAGGUAACGGCCCACCAAGGCGACGAUCGGUAGCCGGCCUGAGAGGGUGAACGGCCACAUUGGAACUGAGAGACGGUCCAAACUCCUACGGGAGGCAGCAGUGGGGAGUAUUGGGCAAUGGGCGAAAGCCUGACCCAGCAACGCCGCGUGAGGGAAGAAGGUUUUCGGAUUGUAAACCUCUGUCCUAUGGGACGAAGGAAGUGACGGUACCAUAGGAGGAAGCCCCGGCUAACUACGUG